AGGGACCUAUGUUAACUUUGACAAGAUGAUCUGAAAUUGCUUUGAUAUUCAUGCCAUAUGUCAAACCCAUGCCAGACAUAUCUAGUAUCUUUAAAAUCUACUAUUGAUGAACUCUAUUGAUCGAUUUUGAUCUUGAUCCAAUCCAUGCUUCACGAUUUGUUGAUCGAGUUGCUUAGAUCUAAUCCUCGAUUAGGAGGCCCUGAAUUGUUUCGAUACAUAGACAGUCUAUUGGACUG
rnacentral:lncRNA from 1 species